GUUUCACUGAGGCAGGAGCUCUGGCUGGUGCCCCCUACCCUGCAUGCCGUGGGCCUUGACAUGGGGCCCCAGCCUUUGCCUCCAGCUGCUCCCAGCUGCUUCCCUGUGGACAGUCUUGUCUGCAUUCCUGGGGUCCAGGUUCGAAGUCAACAAUACCAUUCUUCACCCAGAGAUCGUUGAGUGCCGAGUGUUUAAGACGGAUAUGGAGCUGGAGGUUCUGCGCUACACCAAUAAAAUCUCCAGCGAGGCCCACCGUGAGGUAAUGAAGGCUGUAAAAGUGGGAAUGAAAGAAUAUGAGUUGGAAAGCCUCUUCGAGCACUACUGCUACUCCCGGGGUGGCAUGCGCCACAGCUCCUACACCUGCAUCUGCGGCAGUGGUGAGAACUCAGCCGUGCUACACUACGGACACGCCGGAGCUCCCAACGACCGAACGAUCCAGAAUGGGGACAUGUGCCUGUUCGACAUGGGCGGUGAGUAUUACUGC
rnacentral:sRNA from 1 species